rnacentral:rRNA from 1 species
CAGCCGCCGCGGUAAUACAGAGGGUGCGAGCGUUAAUCGGAUUUACUGGGCGUAAAGCGUGCGUAGGCGGCUUCUUAAGUCGGAUGUGAAAUCCCUGAGCUUAACUUAGGAAUUGCAUUCGAUACUGGGAAGCUAGAGUAUGGGAGAGGAUGGUAGAAUUCCAGGUGUAGCGGUGAAAUGCGUAGAGAUCUGGAGGAAUACCGAUGGCGAAGGCAGCCAUCUGGCCUAAUACUGACGCUGAGGUACGAAAGCAUGUGGAGCAAACAGGAUUAGAUACCCAGGUAGUCCCUGUCUCUUAUAC